AGGCUUAUACAUGGGUUAUGCAUUUUUACCGAUUUUUAAACUCAAGUCUUGGGGUCGGCUUAUAUUUGAGUAUAUACGGUACUUCCGGAAAAUCUUUUUUUGUCAUUUCUGUAAUAAACUGUUUAAGUUUUGGUAUGAUUUAACUACACAUUGUGCAGCCCUUUACAUUCAUGUCAGAAGUGGAGUAGUGCAACAAAAGGUUCAGCAAAGAGUAAUUUAGCUGGGAGGAGUGAUUUAAAUCUUUUCUUUGAUUUACUAAAUUGUGCCAAAUUGAGGCAGAAUGGCACAAGUCCAAGAGAAUGAGAUAGAAUUGACCUUGCCUUCUUUUAGUGGUGAAUUUGGCCCCAAGAUUUGAGUCUAAUUUCAUGCAAUUGCUUUAUUUCUUACAAUAGGUACUAGAAAAACGCUUAUGCCCACUUUCACUAGUUUGUCAAGCUAUGCUCGAGAUUUUGCAGCCUCUACAAUUUAGCAUGGCCGCAUCAACACUUAUCUUCAGUUUAAACAGGUGUCAACAGGAUAGUUUGACCCUGAGUCACUGCUGGAUUAAAUUUGUUUGAUUUAUUAAUGCUUUCAGCGAGUAGGAGAAUCAGUGGAGGGCUUCGUUAGGUGCUUGCUGGCAUUAAUUGCAAAUAAUCAAAUGCCUACCAUUUAUAGGCCUAUAUCAGUCCCAGAGCUAGAGAUCCGGCUUAUCGCUCACCUUUUGACCAGUUUGGCCCCAUUUAUCAGUCUGAGGUCUAUCUAGCACAUUCUUUUUCCUUUUAUGAGGCUUUCACAAUAGCUCUGCAGGCUGAGAGGCAUCUUUUAACCCGAGACCAUGGUAACCCUUUCCCAAGCCCCCUUUUUUCUGUCAUACCGCUUCAAGACUCUCAGCUUAUCCGAGCAGUUCCAAGGGAGAUAGUGCGGUGAACUCGGGCAGCUCGAGCUGCUAGUUCCAAACUUUAACUCUCUCUCCUGCUCAUCUUCCACUGCAUGCUCUUAGGUGUCCCACCAACAGAUUGUUUUGGUUAAAAAUUACCCAUGUAGAGUUGGAGACAGAAUAAACCUACUGUGAAUCUGCAUGUCGUAAUAGACAACUAAAGAGAUAAAGAAGGAUGGCUCAACCAUUAAGGUAUAAGAAGAACUCACAUAUAAUUCUAUAAAGCCACCAGGAUAUCAUCGGGCAGAGACAAAGCCAUCAUCCAGAGCAGAAUAUUCUGAUGUUCUCCUUGGAGAGAAAGAUGGGGUGCCAUAUAUUAAAAUUGCAUUAGAGAUUUAUUAAUAAUAUAAUUGAAAGUGCAAAUCUGUUUCCAAAAUGGGUCAAAGACAGUGUCCCCUAUGAGUGCAAUUGCAGAUGGCACCAAGAAUAAUGCAGGCAGUGCAACACUACACACCAUAGAUAUAAUUAUAAAUAGGAAAAGUAAAAGAACUACUCCCACAUUGGGAUUAAAAAAGUGAAACUUACAUAUAUAAUGACAAAAACUCAGCAUUUCUGGCGGUUGUGUAUAGAUUUCUGUGGUUGCACAGGC
rnacentral:lncRNA from 1 species